AUGGUGAACAAGUUUGUUUUUCUGAUUCUCAUAACAAGAAAAGGUUAAGACUAAACUAUCUAAUCUUCAACCCCAUCCAAGAUCUGAGGAGGAGAAAUGUUGCCUGAAUAAAAGGAAAUUCAGAGCAAACAGCUUCCAAACCUAAGAAAUAACAGAAAUGGUUGGCUACCCUGGGAGUCAGUCAGCAAAUAUUCCUGUGUCACUGUGGCAUCCACCUUCAACUCACUGGGCCAGGAGCUCUGACAACAAUCCUUUGAAGCAGGUCACUUGAAGGACUAUCCUAUUUUUUUUUUCCAAAAACUGGGACACAGACUUCCCCAUGAUCAACUUCUGCACAGUCUGGACAGCUUUCUGGCAGCAGUAGAGGUUGGCCCUGCAGCUUUGGGCAAGGCCCAUGGACAGAGAGAUCGCACCUGAUGGGAACAAUCUUAAAAGCCAUCUGAUUCUGAAUUACAGGGCAGGCUGGAUGAAGACUCUCAGCUGACAAUGUGGACAUCUCAAGACAGGCACUGGACAAUGGCUGACAGACUUAUAUGAAGACUGGAAAUGUUUUGCUAUCUCAGAGGAAAAGAAGGCCCCUCCGACUACACUGUACUCUAAGGACAGUUUAUUCAGAGGCCUGCAGACAGACGUCAUCCCCUGAAAAUGUCCUAAACAAGGUGCAGGCCAACGAGGAAGAGGAGAGGCUGAAUAGAGAACUGGAGCUAACUACCAAGGAGAGAAAUGAGCUGACAGAUCGCCUCCUUUAUGUGACAGGUGGAUCCAUGAGCAAGA
ensembl:lncRNA